AUACGGAGGAUCCGAGCGUUAUCCGGAUUUAUGGGUUUAAAGGGUGCGUAGGCGGAAGAAUAAGUCAGUGGUGAAAGUUUGCAGCUCAACUGUAAAAUUGCCGUUGAAACUGUUUUUCUUGAGUGUAAAUGAGGUAGGCGGAAUUCGUAGUGUAGCGGUGAAAUGCUUAGAUAUUACGAAGAACUCCAAUUGCGUAGGCAGCUUACUGGGCCGCAACUGACGCUGAAGCUCGAAGGUGCGGGUAUC
rnacentral:rRNA from 1 species